rnacentral:rRNA from 1 species
CGGGGUGCACCAGGCGCGAAAACUCUACAAUGCAGGCAACUGCGAUAGGGGAACAUCGAGUGAUACUCAUCUUGGGUGUCUGUCCUCCCGUCUAAAAAACGGGAGUUAGCAAGGGCCGGGCAAGACCGGUGCCAGCCGCCGCGGUAAUACCGGCGGCUCGAGUGGUGGCCGAUAUUAUUGAGUCUAAAGGGUCCGUAGCCGGCUUUGCAAGUCUUUUGGGAAAUCCAGCGGCUUAACCGUUGGUCGUCCGGGAGAUACUACAUUGCUUGGGACUGGGAGAGGUAGGAGGUACUCAGGGGGUAGGAGUGAAAUCCUGUAAUCCUUUGGGGACCACCGGUGGCGAAGGCGUCCUACCAGAACAGGUCCGACGGUGAGGGACGAAAGCUAGGGGCACGAACCGGAUUAGAUACCCGGGUAGUCCUAGCCGUAAACGAUGCUCGCUAGGUGUCACAACAAUCGUGAAUUGUUGUGGUGCCGUAGGGAAGCCGUGAAGCGAGCCACUUGGGAAGUACGACCGCAAGGUUAAACUUAAAGGAAUUGCGGGGGAG